GGGUGAUUCCGAACAACUUUUUCCCUUAUCAAAAUGUUGGUUGAGGCUUUGUUUUUGAAUUAUUAACGAAAAACAUUGGCCAAUCAGAGCGCGCGCUGAGAGCGUUGGCUCUCAACCGCGGUCGAGAUUGGUCGAAAUGUUCGGGAUUGGUGUUAAUCCCGAUGGGAUUGCGCUGGAAAUAAUUAGACACUUGCUGGUUCGAUUUUCGACAAUUAAUUUAUUUGAAUCACGCAUGAAAUAAAAUAUACAAAUUGAGUCAGAUCGUGAAUAGACGCAUUGACACAGCGUGGGUAUCGAGGGAAACGUGCGACUAAUUUCACAUUGUUCUUAACCCAUUAACUACCAAAUUUUUAUUUUGGAUAUUUUUAGUUUAUUUAAUAUAAUCCUAUUGCAAGUGAUAAAAAAAUAUAUAUGUAUAUAUAUUCAAAUCCCUAUUUGGGGUUCGUGGUAGCAAAUGAGUUAAUUUAAGACGAUGUAAUAUUUGUCGCACGCUUCCCUCGAUACCCACGCUGUGCCAAUGCGUUUGUUCACGACCACGACCGAGCGCGGUUCAGAACCAACGCUCUCGCGGUUCAGCGCGCGCUCUGAUUGGCCAGUGUUUUUCGUUAAUAAUUCAAAAACGAAGCUUCAACCAACAUUUUGGUAAAGGAAAAAGUUGUUCAGAAUCACCCCAGCAACCCCCAAUUUUCGGGUGUUACGCGAGUUCCGGGACACCCUGUAUACACUGCAUUGAAUCACGUGGGAGAAUGUAUUUGACGCAGAGUAGGUGUUUCUAUCGAUCUUCGAAACAUGUACAAUCACCAUCGAUCGCUCGAUAAAUCGCGUUUGGGUAUCGACUUUAAAUUGUAAUCUACAAAACACUAUUAACCAGAUAGUGAUUAUAAUUAUUAACUAAAUAAAAGCAUUCGAGUAACAGAAGUCGCUUAAAUAUUUCAACCUAAAUAGAUACCGCGAAAAGAGAAGAUGAAUAAGGGUGGGGAGAAAGUUUGCACAGCAGUCCCAUAACAAGUGGAAUCGCUCGAUAACCAUGCGAGAAUGGUCGACAGACACCAUGCGGUUCUUUCUCUGUCGCGUUGCUACUGCCACUGCUACCUCUUGCCUUGUCUUUCAAUGGCCGGAGUAUUGAUCCAACUGUGCAAUACCUACAUAUGUGUGUAAUGUUGUAACGACCACCGUUGCUUACGAAUCUCCCGUACCUUGGAACCGUAAACGACAUUGUCCAAACUUGCUUUCUUAAUUGUACCAUGAUCUGUUUGUAUAAUAAUACAUAUUUUGUUAUUAUAACGCGUUGUAAUAAUUUAUUUGUCUCUGUAAUUUAAAUACCGCUAUAAACAAAAAAAAAAGGGAAAGUAUAAUUUUACACACACCUGGCUCCAUACAAGGUGACUAAGUUCGAAAUAUAACACGUAUAUAAUAAAGAAAUAGAACACGUUUCGUUGGUUGGUUUUUAAAGUUGUCACUUAGCCCCUGAGAAGACGAAUUUUAAACGGGUGUAAUACAUUAAAUUAAUAGACAUGUUAUUUAAAAAAUAAAUGGUUUAGCGAAUAUGAUUCUUGUUUUUAAAAUACGAUAUAAAUACUUAUACUUUAUAAUAAAAAUUCGUCGAAUUAUCAACUGUACAAAACUGCCGUAGGAAAUAUGAAUUAAAAUGAAAAAGAAUACUUAGUAAUAACACGCGUCCAUUUGCGUCCAUGACAACGGUUCUUCAGUCUUAAGAUGCACAAUGUUGCAGAUCCAAUACAGUCAAGUAUCAUAUAUUAAAGCUAAGGAUCUCUGAAUCGUAUCAGAAAAUCGUUCUGUUUAGAAGUUAAUGAACCUUUUUACGUCUGAUUAUCAGAAAGAUAAUCGAUACGAUCGCGUGGAAAUAUUAGCUAAAAGAUCUUCGAUCUGAAAUGAUUCAAGCGUAUCACGAGUCCAUUCUUACAUAUGAUACACCAAUGCAUUGAUCACAAUUCAACGUUGUUUCCACUUCGACGGACAUAGCGACUGAAGUAGUCGGGACGCCAACAUUUGCAACUACCCGGUACCAGGAACCAAUCGUAAUACAGCCUUACCUGCAACAUAAACAUAAAUUAUGAUCAGUUUAAUAAAUUCAAAAGUAGCAGAUUGACACCCGUUUGAUGUUCUCUGGUGAUCACCUGGAAGCAUCCCAUUUCAUCAACACCAUCGCAAUGAUGCUGCGAGCCACUGUUGCGAGCUUCGUUUUCACCGGCACGCUUCUGCAAAUACUGUUGAUAGUUUUGGAAAUCAUGAACAGGCGGUGGCGAAUCAGCGCCAUCCCUCAGACCACUGAUCCGUGAGCCUUGAUUUUCUUCCAGGAAUGUAUCUGGAUAGAAAAUCUCUGCGACGAGUAGGCUUGUCCAUCUUGGUGACGACAGACAGCCACCGUCUAGGUAAUGACACCUCGAUUGCCUAUGAAUCAAGUCGACGAGUUUUAGCAUACAUAGUACUCAAAGACCAACUCUACAACCUUUUCCUUGAAUUAUGGUUCUUACAUGCAUCUGGUAACUUCUAUAGUUUGCGUGAAAUAACCCUCGUAAGGUAUCUGGACCACGUAGCGCCAAACUCCUUGAUAGUUCUUGGCGAAAACGGGUGUCGCGUAUUCUACUUUGGCCGGGCAAGGAGUUGGUGGACCAGUGUACUCUGGCUUUUCCUGCGGCGGUGUUCGUUGACGAUAUUCAGGAGUAGACGGUUCGUCCCGACGUUCAGCCGCUGAUGGAACCAAUGGUUCUCCCUGUAUGGCUUUGUAGAGCAUGCAGACCCUUGGGUUUAUAGAACAAGAUAGUUUAUAGAACUCGAUUGAUCGUACUGAUACUAACGCAUUGAACCGAUGACUUACACUCCUCCGCCGUUCUCGCAAAACUUGCGACCAUUUCGAAUGGUAUCCUGAUUGCUAUCCGAGUCGGAUGACCGUUUACUUCUGCUCCGUUUUUCAUCGGUGUCCACUCUACAAUUGAGAAUCCGUUAGAAUAAAAUAUAAUUUACAACGAAAGUUGUACCCAUAUUCCAGAGUUAUGGAUAUGUAUAUUUUGUCAAAUAUCUACUUACGAAUUCUGAGAAUAGGAUUGAACGGUGGCGACUUUGGGCAACGAGUCGUCAGCUUUAAGUAUGGGUAAAGCUUUACUCAAAAAUUUCAACGUGUGAUUUUUCAACAGAGCACUGUAAACAUUUAUCGGUAACCAAAUAAAAAUAUUUCUUAUCGCAAUAAAUCAAAAUGAUUUAUUAUUAAACUUACAAAGGAUAAGACGAACCGUUGAAAUACUGAUUCAUAGGAUUUCUAGGAAUAUAACCCUUGUUCAGAUCCCCACAGAUAUUGUGCACAGAUACGUAACCUUUUCCUUGCUUACCAGUAUCUGUAAAUUGUUUAUACUCAUCGAUUGAAAUUAUAAAUUACAGUACAGUCCCUGGUCAUCGAAUUAGGACCACGUACUGAAAAUUUCACUUUUAUGGCUAUAAUGGUAUGUCAUAUAUGGAAGAUCGUCUUUGGUCAUUCAAAUUAUUACUAAAUACAUUGAUAACCAGGUAUACAUAGCAUAGAUUUGUUACUAUUCUGAUGAAAAUAAAAUUAUGUGGGCUGCGAAUGUUUGUCUGGAGUCUACUUAAAAGACUUGUUUACAACUCUCCAAGCACCACAUUAUCUGAGUUGAAAACAAGAAUUACAGAUAUUUGGGAAAAUAAUGAAGAUAUAAAUCAUGAUCAAGCAAUCUAUACGGAGCAUGCCGGUAAGGAUACAAGCUGUCGUCAAAGCAAAGGAUGGAAAUACAAGAUAUUAACAUGAGUUAACAACGUUAUGUACAGCAGAAGUGUAUUAUGUUAGUAGCUAAUAAAUUAUAUCGUUACAAUUUGAACAGGCCUUUUAAUUUUACGGAAAACGUGAAAAAUGCUGAAAAUUUGUAGUGGUCUUAAUUCGUUUGCCAGGGACUAUAGAUCAAUACUUCUGUUCGUUUUAAAUGUACUAUUGCGAUUGUUAGAGUAAUAAGUGGCACAAGUUUGAUAUGCAUACCGUAACACUCUUUGUCACUGUCUAUAUAAGGUGGUGGCCUAACUUUAGGCGGUUCUGCGUUCGGUGACUUGACAAAAGCGUAAUAUCCUUCUGGAGGUUCGUUCGAUUCUGUGGACGGAUCGCUAUAGUUUGCUUUUGAUAGCUUCAUUUGGUAUUCGUUCGCGUAACACGAAACGCAUAAAAGUAUCAU